GACCUAAUAGCGAAAUCGGUAUCGCAUCUACUCUUGUUAGCAGGCUCAGCAAUCUUGUUACGUGGAAGUCCCUCGUUCGAACCGAGGUUAGGUCC